rnacentral:lncRNA from 1 species
CGCAGACGACAAGGACGCUGGGUGCGAUUGUUUAUGAGAAAUGUUGUACCUGGAGAGACGGACAUUUGAAUUAAAACAAAUGGAAUAAGAUAUGCAAACCAAGCAGAGGCGGAUUAUUUUCCGAGAAGAAGGUCGCUUUUCAGCUUCAAAAAUGGGGACGACUUGUCAAACAGUCAACGAAACAAGAGGCAGAUUCAGAUAACUUAUUUUGGUAAAUAAAUGGGUAGAUCACUCAGAUCGCUUAAACAAACACACUACAUAUAUUAAGUAUGUUGAAUGCAAUGUUGAAACGUUGCUAAUCAGCGUUGCCAUAUAUUUAUAUACAAACAAACAAACAUUCAUAGCAAGACCGUUGACAACGAUGUCAAGUCCGUUCGUCCUUGGCUUAUUGCAUGACAAUUUUGCCAUGUGUUCGUUCGCCC